AUUUAUUUAUCAUAUGUACUAGGAACACGUGCUUUUAUUUAUUAUGUGCUAAUAAUAGCGACAGUAGCUAUUGGUCAGUAUUUAAAGGUCGAUACCUGUAGAACGGGUGAACAGGUAUUCACUUUAAUCACGAUUUUAACUCAUUCGAAGGCUUUGCUUUGCGACAUUCACACGUAUACUUCCUAAUGACAAAAAUUGUAAGGAGACAGGCCCAUCCCUGUUUGGAAAGUCGAUUCUACAACCAGUCUACAAAUUUUAUAUGGCAUUGCAUUCGACAAAGACAUCUAUUCUCUUCAAACAUUCAGUUUACCAUCGAAAAUACAGAGACGGUUCAUUAAACACAGUUCUCGUGGUGAAGUAUCCAGAAUAGCGCAUGCAGACCGAGAAUCCUCAAACCUUAGAUACGUACAUGUAUACCUGAAGUUAUGAUUUUCACGGCUCGACAAAAGACGAGAAGUCCAGCAUUCGUUACAUCAACAGUCAAAGGAGAUUUCACAGUCAUACACAGAGUAAAAAAGGGCCAUUGAAGCAGAAGAUAAGUUUUUAAAAAUAAUGUUUUCAGUUUUUGGUGAUAAUUAAGGUUCAAGUUCAAGAACGCGGCAUUAAUUUAUCCCCGUUUAUUAUUGUAAAAAAAAAAGUACAUAAUGAAAGUAAACACAGACAAGAUACCUUUUCGAUAAGUUAUUUCACCUAUGUCUAUCUUCUUAGAAUUUUCCACUGCUCAUCGGAAGACAAAGGUCCAGAAUCGCCUGAACAGUUCAACAGAUUUUACAUCCAUAAGCAGAGAGUACAUAAUGGUCAUUGAAGUAAAAGAUAAGUAUUUUCGAUAAUACUUAAGUUAUUUAUAAUGAAAACGUUUUGAAUACAAUUGAAUUCAAGUCACUUUAUUACGUAAGACAUACAUUUUAUUGUAUACAAUAUAAAUUUAUAACUUGUAAACAGUAAAGCAUAGCGCAGGUAUUUUUUCUUUUUAACAGUCAGCAUAAUAAUUAUACAAUCAGUAUCAUGAUGAUGGAGAAUAUACAAACCAUUUUUUAAUUGUUUAUAGGGCAGUAUGACAUUCAUUUAAACGCACAGAAUAUGUACCACUUCGAUAAAUGAUUUCGCUUAUGAUUAUGAGAGAGUACCUAGAAUUUACAGCAGGCUUCGAUAUACUGUAUGAAUGAAUUUGUACAUAUGUACAUGUAUGCUUAUUUAACAAACCCUUAAAGACUGAUUUGGAUUUGAUUUCACAACUAAGUUUAAUUAGGUCGGGAGAUUAUAAUUCAGCUUAAUUUUUACAGAUUCUCUUUGCAACACACUCAGCUUCACAUGGAAAACAACAAACUCUAGAUAAAACCUCUAGAUAUAAGAUAGAUGUAUUUUAAAUACUAUCAAUCAAUAAUACAAAAGCCUACUGCUUGUAAAUGAAAUCAUUUCAUUUUCUCGUUAUUAAAUGAAAGAUAGAAGGGAAAAGCUCUGGAUUAAUUUUAUCUCUUUGAAAUUUUUUAAAAAGCUGUUAAACAGUUAAGAAAUGUUAAUUUAUAUUGUUGACUUUCUUUUCUGGUCUAAUGAUAAAUAUCCGAGUAUACUAUAUAUUUCAGUAAAAUAUUAUAAUGAGGUUAUAUGGAAUAUGAUUGAUUGUGUUCAGGUUUUCACGGUCAAAUUUUGAUUCAACUGUGAACGUAUUGAUAUUUAUAAUUAGCCAUAUCAUAUUGUUUUGGACACGACUUGAACAAACUAGAUUUCACUCAUCAGCACUACGACGCAAAUAAAAUUUAAUUUGCAGUUUAUUUUCAAAAGAUAUGCGAUAUUUGAAAACAAGUAAACGUCGGUUGAAGUUGUUACGUGUCGAGGAGCUUUUUGAUUUAGUGUAUAGAUAGCAGUCUAAGUUUUCAAGAACAUACAAGCAUAAAAUUGUAUAUAUAAUUUUUUUUUGGGGAAUACCAGAACGUCUUAAAUAGAAAUAUCUUAACUAUUAUUAUUUUAGGUUUUAUUUUGAAAUAAUCGUAAUGAAUCAUAAAUUUUGAAUGAGGGACGUUUUUAUAUCCCUGUAUUUGAAUCUAUAUUGAACAUUGAACGGUUGUUAUUAUACUUUAUCUGUGUUACAUUGUAUAUAUGAUACUGCUUCGUUAAAAAUUAGAAAAUCGGAUGUACAUGGAAAUGCCGCUCUAAAGGCUCAAGACCCUGUAUUUGUAUCUACAUUGAACAUUGAACGGUUGUGAUUAUACUUUAUCUGUGUUAUAUAUAAUACUGCUUCGUUUAAAAUUAGAAAAUCAGAUGUACAUGGAAAUGCCGCUUUAAAGGCGUAAAAAAUUUAAAAUGUUAUAAAAAUAAUAUCCAUGCACACUGUCGCAGAAUAUAAAAUGAAUAGUGAUCUAGAAGUCGUUAAAUAAUUACAUGUGAAAAAUUCUUUAUAUAGUAUAAUGGAAAAACAGUACUUAAUUGUAUUUCGUAAUAGAAGUUUAUAAAAUAGUUAUAUUUUUGCACAGUUAUGAAGUGUUGGUUUUACUGCACAUGAAGAUUCAGUAUAUAAGAUACAUUUAAUGCACAGUGAUCUUUAUAGUAAUCCUGGUGCUUAGUAUGCCUCAUUUAGUAGAUUUAUCAUUAUGUUCUUGGUGCAUAGCACGUUGCAGCCAGUGAAGUUAGUAAGUUGAUGUUACUGCGUAUGUGACGCAAGUAGAGUUUUCAGGGUGUUUCUGGUGUACAGCACGAUGCAUCCAGUGGAAGUCCUGGUGCAUAGCACGUUGCAGCCAGUGGAAGUCCUGGUGCAUAGCACAUUAUAGCCAGUGAAAGUCCUGGUGCAUAGCAUGUUGCAGCCAGUGGAAGUCCUGGUGCAUAGCAUGUUGUAGCCAGUGGAAAUCUUGGUGCAUAGCAUGUUGCAGUCAGUGGAGGUCCUGGUGCAUAGCAUGUUGCAGCCAGUAGAAGUCCUGGUGCAUAGCAUGUUGUAGCCAGUGGAAGUCCUGGUGCGUAUUGACGCAGCCAGUGUAGUUCUAAACAUUUUUCUGGUGUGUAGCACGUCGCAGCUUGUUAAAGUCUGGUCGAAUAGUAUGUUGUCAGUGAUGUAAUCGUGAUGAUUUCUGGUGCACGGAAUGAUGCAGCCAGCAAAUAAUUUACAGCGAUACUAUGCUAUACAAAUUUGAAUUACAUGUAUUCUAAAAGGAUUGUUGCAAAUUUUAAUUGAUUUUCAGAACUUAUUUACUUUCGGCAAGCAAAUUGAAGGAAAAUGCUUUACGGCGAAAAUUAUGAUGAUUACUUAAGAUAAACAAUCGUCAUUUGUUUUGUUUGGAAUGUAAAGAUGUUUUUUAUUUAAAAUUCCUAAAUGUAUAGGAGAAAUACAUGUUUGCGUUCAAUCUAGCAAAUGGUAAAAUCAAAGUCUAUACCCAAAAAGAAUAAGACAUAAGUUGUAUGGUUCUAUAUACUUAAAAGAAUAUACUGAUGUUUUUGUUUUUGAACGGUCAAUUUUAAUAAGAAAUUAAGUGAAUUGAAGGAAAAUACAACUGUAUUAACAGCGCAUAUUAUGAUAAUUUACAUCUGAUAACAUCUGUCAUGUCUGAAAAAUGAAAUCUUAAAGACUUAUACUUUUAUAAAAGAAAUAUAUGUAUGCGUUCAAUCUUGCUAAUGGUGAAAUCCAUAUCAAUAAUAUAAAACACUAUAUAAGAUAUGAUUUGUUUAGUUUUUUAUGUUUGAUAGCUUAAGAUGGAUGUUUGAGUUAAUUGAACGAAUAAUGUUUGGAGAUUCGAUGUUAUUUUAUGAUACUUAUUCUUUAUCAUUUAUAGAAAUAACAAAACGGACCUGAACAAAAAAAACCAGAGCCCUCUUUCUUUAUGUUCGAAAUAUUGGCAAGCAAGCGCUUCCAUUUCCUAUGUAGACAAGUGUUCUUGUUUUGAUUGUAAAUAAUUUAUGUUCGUUUGAGUGAAACGAAUUAGAACAUAAAUUUAUUUAUCAUAUGUACUAGGAACACGUGCUUUUGUUUAUUAUGUGCUAAUAAUAGCGACAGUAGCUAUUGGUCAGUAUUUAAAGGUCGAUACCUGUAGAACGGGUGAACAGGUAUUCACUUUAAUCACGAUUUUAACUCAUUCGAAGGCUUUGCUUUGCGACAUUCACACCCACCCACCCACCCUCUUACUUACUUCAACCUUUUACUAGUAUUUUGUUUAAUAAAGAAAGUAAUUGUUUUCAUUUCAAGAAAAUUAAAAGUUUUGUACACAACAGAUUAAUUGUCAAAGAUGGGAAACAAUUUGCUUAGUCGCUCUAGAUAAUUUUAUGUAAAAUUUGAUAUAAAUGUAAGAUUGUUGUGUAAGGGUACAUAUUAACUACAUAUAGUCGAAAUGUGUUUACAGAUAGUUCUAACUUACAUUCAUUUUGCAUAGGUUUUACUUAAACUAGUCGAUUAAUUGUACAUUAUAAUAUAUGAUACGUACGUAAGUUUGUGAGAAUGAGUCCGCCAUUCAUUUUGUUUACCUCGCAAUUGCUGCGGACUUACAGGUUUCCAUAGUUUUUUCAACAUAAAUCGAUGUUGUUUUUUAUCUAUGGUUUUUCCUGGGCGGCGAGGGAAGCAUAAUUGUGUUCAUACAUGCAUUA